GAUGAACGCUAGCGAUAGGCUUAACACAUGCAAGUCGAGGGGUAACGUGUUGGAAGCUUGCUUCCGAUGACGACGACCGGCGGAUGGGUGCGUAACGCGUAUGCAACUUGCCUCACAGUGGAGAAUAACCCGGAGAAAUCCGGACUAAUACUCCAUACACUCUUAAGUACGCCUGUACAUGAGAGGAAAGAUUUAUCGCUGUGAGAUAGGCAUGCGUCCUAUUAGGUAGUUGGUGAGGUAACGGCUCACCAAGCCGACGAUAGGUAGGGGUGCUGAGAGGCAGAUCCCCCACAUUGGGACUGAGACACGGCCCAAACUCCGACGGGAGGCAGCAGUGAGGAAGAUUAGUCAAUGGAGGAAACUCUGAACCAGCCAAGUCGCGUGAAGGAAGAAUGUCCUAAGGAUUGUAAACUUCUUUAGCGAGCGAGUAAGGACUUCCACGUGAUGGGAGUUUGAAAGUAGCUCGAGAAUAAGUAUCGGCUAACUCCGUG
rnacentral:rRNA from 1 species